GUGCCAGCCGCCGCGGUAAUACGUAGGUGGCAAGCGUUAUCCGGAAUUAUUGGGCGUAAGGCGCGCGUAGGCGGUUUUUUAAGUCUGAUGUGAAAGCCCACGGCUCAACCGUGGAGGGUCAUUGGAAACUGGAAAACUUGAGUGCAGAAGAGGAAAGUGGAAUUCCAUGUGUAGCGGUGAAAUGCGCAGAGAUAUGGAGGAACACCAGUGGCGAAGGCGACUUUCUGGUCUGUAACUGACGCUGAUGUGCGAAAGCGUGGGGAUCAAACAGGAUUAGAUACCCUGGUAGUCAAGGGCG
rnacentral:rRNA from 1 species